ACCGAAAUAGCCCAAUUGGGAGAGCGUUAGACUAUAGAUCGAAAGAUCUCUCGUUCGAUCUCGGGUUACGGCA
rnacentral:tRNA from 1 species